rnacentral:rRNA from 1 species
CCUACGGGGGGCAGCAGUGGGGAAUAUUGCACAAUGGGGGAAACCCUGAUGCAGCGACGCCGCGUGAGUGAAGAAGUAUUUCGGUAUGUAAAGCUCUAUCAGCAGGGAAGAAAAUGACGGUACCUGAUUAAGAAGCCCCGGCUAACUACGUGCCAGCAGCCGCGGUAAUACGUAGGGGGCAAGCGUUAUCCGGAUUUACUGGGUGUAAAGGGAGCGUAGACGGCAGCACAAGUCUGGAGUGAAAUGCCGGGGCUUAACCCCGGAACUGCUUUGGAAACUGUGCAGCUAGAGUGCAGGAGAGGGAAGUGGAAUUCCGAGGGUAGCGGGGAAAUGCGGAGAUAUUAGGAGGAACACCAGUGGCGAAGGCGGCUUACUGGACUGUAACUGACGUUGAGGCUCGAAAGCGUGGGGAGCGAACAGGAUUAGAUACCCCGGUAGUC